rnacentral:rRNA from 1 species
AUUGAACGCUGGCGGAAUGCUUUACACAUGCAAGUCGAACGGCAGCAUAGGUGCUUGCACCUGAUGGCGAGUGGCGAACGGGUGAGUAAUACAUCGGAACGUGCCCAGUCGUGGGGGAUAACGUAGCGAAAGUUACGCUAAUACCGCAUACGAUCUAAGGAUGAAAGCGGGGGACCGUAAGGCCUCGCGCGAUUGGAGCGGCCGAUGUCAGAUUAGGUAGUUGGUGAGGGAAAGGCUCACCAAGCCGACGAUGUGUAGCUGGUCUGAGAGGACGAGCAGCCACACUGGGACUGAGACACGGCCCAGACUCCUACGGGAGGCAGCAUUGGGGAAUUUUGGACAAUGGACGCAAGUCUGAUCCAGCCAUUCCGCGUGCAGGACGAAGGCCUUCGGGUUGUAAACUGCUUUUGUACGGAACGAAAAAGCUCUUACUAAUACUAGGAGUCCAUGACGGUACCGUAAGAAUAAGCACCGGCUAACUACGUGCCAGCCGCCGCCGUAA